UUGAACGCUGGCGGCAGGCUUAACACAUGCAAGUCGAACGGUAACAGAGAAUAGCUUGCUAUUUUGCUGACGAGUGGCGGACGGGUGAGUAAUGCUUGGGUAUAUGCCAAUAGGUGGGGGACAACAGUUGGAAACGACUGCUAAUACCGCAUAAUCUCUUCGGAGCAAAGCAGGGGACCUUCGGGCCUUGCGCCUAUUGAUUAGCCCAAGUGGGAUUAGCUAGUUGGUAAGGUAAUGGCUUACCAAGGCGACGAUCCCUAGCUGGUCUUAGAGGAUGACCAGCCACACUGGAACUGAGACACGGUCCAGACUCCUACGGGAGGCAGCAGUGGGGAAUAUUGCACAAUGGAGGAAACUCUGAUGCAGCCAUGCCGCGUGUGUGAAGAAGGCUUUCGGGUUGUAAAGCACUUUCAGCGAGGAGGAAAGGGCGUAGGUUAAUAACUUGCGUCUGUGACGUUACUCGCAGAAGAAGCACCGGCUAACUCCGUG
rnacentral:rRNA from 1 species